rnacentral:rRNA from 1 species
CCGAUAGCGAAGGCAGCUCACUAAGUUAUAACUGACGCUCAUGCACGAAAGCGUGGGGAUCAAACAGGAUUAGAUACCCUGGUAGUCCACGCUGUAAACGAUGAUCACUCGUUGUUGGCGAUACACCGUCAGCGACUAAGCGAAAGUGAUAAGUGAUCCACCUGGGGAGUACGGUCGCAAGAUUGAAACUCAAAGGAAUUGACGGGGGCCCGCACAAGCGGUGGAGCAUGUGGUUUAAUUCGAUGAUACGCGAGGAACCUUACCUGGGCUCAAACGCAUGAUGACGUACGGUGAAAGCUGUAUUUCUUCGGACAUUAUGCGAGGUGCUGCAUGGUUGUCGUCAGCUCGUGCCGUGAGGUGUCGGGUUAAGUCCCAUAACGAGCGCAACCCCUAUCAUUAGUUGCCAUCAGGUCAAGCUGGGGACUCUAAUGAAACUGCCUACGCAAGUAGUGAGGAAGGCGGGGAUGACGUCAAAUCAGCACGGCCCUUACGUCCAGGGCUACACACGUGCUACAAUGGCCAGUACAAAGGGCAGCUACCUGGUGACAGGAUGCUAAUCUCAAAAGCUGGUCUCAGUUCGGAUCGAAGUCUGCAACCCGACUUCGUGAAGCUGGAAUCGCUAGUAAUCGCGCAUCAGCCAUGGCGCGGUGAAUACGUUCCCGGGCCUUGUACACACCGCCCGUCAAGCCAUGGAAGCUGGGGGUACCUGAAGUCGGUGAUCCGCCGUAAGGCGGAAGCUGCCUAGGGUAAACUUAGUAACUGGGGCUAAGUCGUAACAAGGUAACCAA